GCGAAGUUGGCGGUGACCUCUCUCGCUUCCACACAAACAAGCUGUAUUCCUGAGCAAACCAGGGGCCCAAGAGCCGCGCCUCAGCGGCAGAGCAGCGAGAAGCCCCCGUCUGCCCUGCUGCGCGGCCCCACCUCUUCCUCGCUUCCCACAGUCUUCCUCCUCCGCCCUGCUGGCCCCAGGAGGAAUCUCUGCGGCAGGAGCACAGGUCUGCUUCCUCUCGGAGCCUUUAGAGUCCGGCGGGAACGGGCGCGCGAGGGGUGCGGGGGCUGUCUGCUCCGGCUGCAGGGAGCCGCGGCGGCGGCACAGGAGCGCCCGCUUCACCAGCACCGGCCGGCGGGCGCAGACACCAGGACAGGAGGACACCACUCUGAUCCCUGACCUGCUGGAUCAAACUCAUAAACCAUGUAAGUGAGGACAGAAAGGGAGGAGGUGACGAAGAAAAGAAGAGACUGAGAAAGAAGAUGAUGACAAAGCAAUUUGUUGGUCCCUUUUAUCACUCUCUUCGCUGUGUAGCAGAGGAUAACAAUGGCUCUAUGGGAAGACUCCAGUCCCUGUCAUCGGCUGAUUCUCCCAGACCUGUGCCACCCUUCUUCUAUUUAUGAUGUUUUUUUCUUGCUACUGUACACGCGUGAGCACUUGGUAUCGACUGUACCUGCGCUGUCAAUUUGACUGGCGUCUAAAUGUAACUGUAAAGCAGAGCUCAGCCCACAGGUUCCUCUGUCUGUCGCGACGCUGUCAGCUGCAGGGCUGCUGCUUGCUUCUCAGCUCCAGGAGGCCAAGAUCGCAGCAGAUCCUGCGCCGGGAUGUGAACUGAACUGCCAUUCUCUCCCAGCUCAUCCACAGCAAGAGGCUGACAGACUUUAAAAAUGUUUAGUUUUAGAAGCAUUAUCUGCUCCAACACUGGACUUAGGCCUAGUUCUUUCACAGACGACCAGGCUUUGACGGGCUCAGAUACUGUACAGCUACUGUACAUCUUCAGAUCUUCAGAUCAUUCUGCAAAGAUGACUAAUGCCUAACCUCCUAAAAACAAGUCACAUGUAUUCUCUGCAUCUGCAUCUGAGUCAGUCCUAGUCUCUCCUACUUCACACUGGGUUCUCUCAUGUGGGGGUCAUGAGGGAUGCCAGCAGAGUCAGAGCCGUCAGUGGUAACUGAUGGUCCAGCCAGCUUCACACAGACUAGAGGACAGCGGUGCUGCAUGUGACCGGCAUGAGGCUGUAAAAGGGCAGCAGAAGACAUUGGUGUCCAGAGCUGGCAUUGCUCAUCCUGAAAUAUAUCCACUGGAGGACCAGGUGCCCGAGUAACAGAUGGGAGAGAGAUUAGGGAGAAGAACAGCCCGCUGGCAGCACAAUCACUCUGAUUUCAGCAUGGCACAUGCGGCUCAGAAGGCAAAGCUUCACUGCUCGGGAGGGAUUUCCCAGCAUUCCUCCUCUUUCCUCUGUCAACAAGUUUUGAACUUUGGAAUAUUACUUGAAACAGGAUGGAAUUAGUUAUGCUUUGCAAAACUGAGCUGCAGCACAUUGGUACAUCGUCCUCAUAUCCUCUUGCACUCAGUGAAUUAGUAUAGAGCCAGGAGAAAAAAUAGCCGUCCCUAAGAAAGGUCUUUCCAGAAACACACAGCUCCACAGCACUCUGCCUGGGAAAUCAGCAAAACUGCAUCCGACUCCCAGCCUCAGAUCCACCUGGGAGAUCAGCACAACUCCUGCAGCUGCCGGGGGUGACAGGGCAGGUCUACAAUAAGCUACAUCUGUGGCCCUGCGUUCCUUUUCUGAAUCAACUGCCAGUCCUGCCUGUUGAAGUCAGCCAAUAAAACUGAACCAUAAAUAGUCUGCUUAAUGUGACAGGUUUCCUGGAUUGUCAGAGACAGAGGCCUAUGCAGCACAAUGAACAGUUAUUUUCAUAAUACCAUAAUAUCUUUUGAAUAUACUAUAAUAAGAUAAAAAUCACCUUAUUUAGCUGAUGCCUUUAUCCAAGAUAGCUUAUAUUAAAGAUCACAACAGGAUUAUAUAAACUGAGAGACAUUAAAAACACAUCAAAUUAAUAUUGGAACCAGCAGCUUUUAUUACAGUUUUAACUUUCAGUACACAGU